GACAUCCAAAGUAUUCUGUCAGGGGGGGCCUGAGGACUGGAGUUGAGAACCGACUCUAGACUGAACACAAAUGUCCCGAACCAGCUGACGUCCAGCCAGCCAGCCAGCCAGCCAGCCAGCCAGCCAGCCAGCACGUCGCCAUCAAACAUUCUCCAUUAAACAAUAUCCGUUAUGUGGAUACUUCUAAGGGCGAGCAUCUACCCAAAGAAGUGGCUUUACAGCAGGAGCUACAUAAAUCAGAGACAUGCCCUUAUAUUGUUAAAAUAUACGACUGGUAUCUGGAAGAUCAGCUCAUCAUGACUAUGGAAUACCCACGGCCAUGCAUGACCUUGCAUGAUUUCAUCCUAUGUCAUCCAAGUCUCCGCGUGAAACCUUUGCACGUCGUUUGAUGAACCAAGCAGUUACAGCAGCCAAAUACUGCAUUGGACACGGUGUCAACCAUGGUGACUUGUCAUGAGACAACUUCUUGAUCAAUACAGAUAUGAUGCAGGUGAAAAUUAUAGAUUUUGGAAACGGCAGGUUUAUCUCAACUACCAACAACCUUAUGUCAGGAUACUGUGGUGAGUUUCUGUGUUUCUAUAGCAUUAAGCCCAGAUGUGAUGACACUUUUAUAAAAACUGUAGCCAAGCUUUGUGUUCCCCCCUAACACAUUAGCAAAACUUACAGGGAUGAUGGAUGCCGUUAUUCUGUGACUUCAAUAACUUUUACUGAUUAAAUGUUUUGCUCACUUCUUGCUUACGUUACAGACAGUGCUUAUGCGGUUGCAGUUUUUUUUUUAUUCAGGUCCAAAAAGAGUCUAUUUAACAGAGCAAGAUUUUGACAGAUUCCUAAAAUGUCUGUUUCCUCUGUCAGGGUUCUGUUCCUUCCUGUCUUGGGUUUUCUUGCCUUGGGGACAGU